rnacentral:sRNA from 1 species
CGGCUGGCCGCCAGGGAAGCCUUUGGCUUCCCCACCGGCCAUGGAGCGGCUGACGUUGCCUCCUGGCGGCGCGGCGGCGGUGGACGAGUACCUGGAGUACCGGAGAAUUGUUGGUGAGGAUGAUGGAGGGAAACUUUUUACUCCUGAAGAAUAUGAAGAAUACAAAAGAAAAGUUUUACCUCUGCGCUUACAAAACAGAUUAUUUGUGAGCUGGCGGUCACCAACAGGGAUGGAUUGUAAACUUGUGGGCCCAGAGACACUGUGUUUUUGUACACAUAGGUAUAAACAACAUAAAACUGACUUGGAAAUGAUUCCUCAGCAGCGCCCCAUUGAUCUGCCCUGCCAAGUGACUGGCUGCCAGUGCAGGGCUUACCUUUAUGUCCCCUUGAAUGGUAGCCAGCCCAUUCGCUGCAGGUGCAAACACUUUGCUGAUCAGCACAGUGCUGCGCCUGGCUUUACAUGCAAUACAUGUUCCAAGUGUUCAGGAUUCCAUAGCUGCUUCACUUGUGCUUGUGGUCAGCCUGCAUAUGCCCAUGACACAGUAGUGGAAACUAAGCAAGAAAGAUUGGCUCAGGGAAAACCAGUGGGACAGGACGUUCCUUAUGCAGCCAUGGGAGGAUUAACUGGUUUCAGCUCGCUGGCGGAAGGCUACAUGCGGUUAGAUGACAGUGGGAUUGGUAGAUGGAUCCUUCUGAGAGCUGAGUGGGACUGGGGAGCAGAAUGUGUUCCCUGUCUACUUGAAACACAUGUGUGUAAGUUUUUUUUUCUUUUUUACAACAAGCAUGUAUUUUUUCAUUUAAAAAUUACAUAAAUACAAGUGUAUAUUUUCUUUUCUUUCUUUUUUUUUCGUUGAGAUGGAGUUUUGCUCUUGUUGCCCAGGCUGGAGUGCAAUAGCGUGAUCUCGGCUCACCACAACCUCUGCCUCCCGGGUUCAAGCGAUUCUCCUGCCUCAGCCUCCUGAGUAGCUGGGAUUACAGGCAUGCGCCACCACGCCCGGCUAAUUUUGUAUUUUUAGUAGAGAUGGGGGUUUCUCCAUGUUGGUCAGGCUGGUCUCGAACUCCCGACCUCAGGUGAUCCGCCCGCCUCAGCCUCCCAAAGUGCUGGGAUUACAGGCUUGAGCCACCACGCCAGGCCCAUACAAGUGUAUAUUUUCUUGUAAAAGAUUCAAACAAUAGAAAUUAAGUGGAAAAAAAAAAAGAAAGUAAGUGCAAAGCACCCUUGAAUACUUCUCUUUGUCUGAUUCUUUCCCCGAGGGUAAUUUGCUAUCAUCAAUUAAUUUUUCUCUUUAACAUAUAAUUUUACUAUUUACUUUUUAAUUUUUAAAAAUUAUUGGUAUAUAUUGUUUAAGAGAUAGGGUCUUGCUAUGGUGGUAGGCUAGGUUUGAACUCCUGGGUUCAAGCGAUCCUCCAGUCUCAGCCUUCCUAGUAGCUGGGAUUACAGGCAUGCAUCACGAUACCUGGCUUUACUUUUUUAACUUAGAAAAAUGUGAAGGCCUAUUGUGUCAGGACACACAAGUCUACUUCAUUCUUUUUAACUGCUGUAUGGUAUUCCACACUGUAGAUAAAGCAGUUUAUCUAACCAUUUCCUUGUUCAUGGCAUUUAGAUUUCCGUCUUUGAAUUUGUCUGCCUGUAUCCUUGCAUGAAUUUGACUCUAAGGUAGAUACGGAGAAGUAAAACUAUUGGAGCGUGUUAACCUGUAAAAUUCUAAUACAUUCUGCCAAAAUGUCCUCCAAAAAUGCUCUUCUUGUUUUUACAUCCUCUACUGAUGCUUUAGCUUGCCUGUUUCCUCACAUUUAGGCCAAUCAUUGAUAUUAUUAAACUUGAUUUUUUUGCCAGUCUGAUGUGUAAAAUUGUUAUUGUUGUUUCAAUUUGAUUUCCCUGGUUAUUAGUGAGAUAGGGAUCUUUUCAUAUUUAUUGGCCAUUUCACUUUCUGUGAAUUGCCUGUUCAUAUCCCUUGCUCAUUUUUUUUUUGUUUUUAUCUUUUAUCAUUGACUUAUAGGAAGUCUUUUUAUAUAUUCUGUAUUUUUUUUGUUAUUUAUUUUGCAGACAUUUUCUCCCAACCUGUCAUUUGUCUCUUAACUUUUUUUUUUUUUUUUUACAGUUUAGAAAUUUUGGAGACAGGCCUUUCGUAUUUCAGUUUUAUAAAUAUAUUCUCCUGCAUUUUAUUUUAAUACUUUUUUAUGUUGAGCUUUUUCAUAUAUCUGUAAUUUAUUUUUUGUGAAAGUAUGAGGUAGAUGUUUCUAACUUCAGUUUUUGUCUAAAUUGAUGGCCAGUUAUUCAAGCACCAUUCUUUCUCAAAUCAUUUGAAACUCUACCAUGUUCUUUAUUUUUAUUUUACUUUAAGUUCUGGGAUACAUGUGCAGAACAUGCAGGUUUGUUACCUAGGUAUACAUGUGCCAUGGUGAUCUGCUGCACCUAUCAACCCAUCAUCUAGGUUUUAAGCCCUGCAUGCAUUAGCUAUUUGUCCUAAUGCCCUCCCUCCGCUCGCCUCCCACCCUCUGACAGGCGCCUUGUAUGUGAUGUUGCCCUCCUCGUGUCCAUGUGUUCUCAUUGUUCAACUCCCACUUGUGAGUGAGAACAUGCGGUGUUUAGUUUUCUGUUCCUGCAUUAGUUUGCUGUGAAUGAUGGCUUCCAGCUUCAUCCAUGUCCCUGCAAAGUACAUGAACUCAUUCUUUUUUAUGGCUGCAUAGUAUUCUGUGGAAACUCUACCAUAUUCUGUCAUAUUCUCCAUUUUGUUCCAUUGGCCCAUUUGUCUAUCCUGUGCCAAUAUUAUAUAUUUAUAUAAUAUAUAUUUUUUAUGAUAGCUUCCUGGUAUGUCAUGAUAUUUGAUAUGGUAAAUUCCUCCUGUUUGUGAUUGUUUUCAAGAUUGUCUUGAUAUUUUUGUGCAUUUUCUCUUCUAGGUAAUUUUAUAACUAGCUUGUUAAAUUUCAUAAGUAAAUUCUUUUGCAGUUUUACGGGUGCAUAAUUGUGUUAGGCUCAAGCAACAGCUAAAGAAAACCCAACUACUAGUGUCAAAAAAUGAUGAUGAUGAUGAUCAUGUUUGAUGACUGCAGCUUUGUACUACCAGCAGUUGUUUGAGCCACAUCACAUAUAUUACUUCACUUAAUCCUCACAACAACUCUGUGAGUUAGAUUGUUAUUCCUAUUUUACAGAUGAGGAUACGCAGCACAGAGAAGUAAAAUAACUUGCUCAGUGUUAUUCAACUAGGAAGUAGCAGGGUUGGGUUCAACCGGAAGAUUUCUGUGGGCUCCCUAGUCUGCCACAUUGUUGGCUAUUUGUGUACAGCUACGAUAUUGUUUUCAUUACUGCAGCUUUAUAAUAAAUAAAUUAGUUAAUAUUUAUGACUUCAUUUUAUUGCUUCAGAAUUUUCUCGACCUGUUCUUAUGUUUUAAUUCUUUCAGAACUUUGGCAUCAUUUUGUUAAGGUGCACCUUCAGUUGAAUUUUUAGAAUCUCCCAUUACGGCAGUAGACAGCCCAUUCCUAAAAGCAUUUCAAGCAUCAUCUAGUUCUUCUCCAGAAACGUUAACAGAUGUAGGUACAAGUAGUCAAGUUUCUUCUUUAAGGACACCUGAAGAGGAUGAUAUGGCUUUCUUUGAAAGACGAUACCAGGAAAGGAUGAAAAUGGAAAAGGCUGCUAAGUUGAAAGGAAAAGCUCCGUUGCCAUCAGCUACAAAACCCUCAUGAAGACUACUGGAGAAAUUAAAACUAUUAUCCAAGUAUCUUUUUCAUGUUUAUUUAAAUGUAAUAAUACAGUUUAUUUUUCCUGAAAUUAUUUACUUUUUUUUUUACUGUAUGUCUUUUGGGAUGUUUCCGUAAUUUAUUUAAAUAAAUAACUAAAAAUGCCUAUUACUUUUGUCAAAACUCCUAAUUUACUACUUUGUAUGUACCUUUCUCUCUCUUGACAAAUGAGGUUAUUUUAUAUGAGUCUGUCUGAGAGUACAGUAAAUAUUUUUAGUACAUAAUGAUUUAACUGUUUCAGGUAUUUAAAAAAUUAAAGAUAUUAUCAAGGGUUUUGGACAAAUAUAUGAGCCUUUUUUUGUCAUUCAAAAUAGUAAGUUAAAAACAAGAAAACAAAACACAAAAAAAUAGUUAAAAUCAUUAAUUUUUUUAUUUUUCAAACUUUGUAAUGUUAUGUUUUUAAAUAAAAAGUGUAUCUUAAAAUUAUAUAACCA